rnacentral:rRNA from 1 species
AUUGAACGCUGGCGGCAUGCUUUACACAUGCAAGUCGAACGGCAGCGCGGGCUUCGGCCUGGCGGCGAGUGACGAACGGGUGAGUAAUGCAUCGGAACGUGCCCAGUAGUGGGGGAUAGCCCGGCGAAAGCCGGAUUAAUACCGCAUACGACCUGAGGGCGAAAGCGGGGGACCGAAAGGCCUCGCGCUAUUGGAGCGGCCGAUGUCGGAUUAGCUAGUUGGUGGGGUAAAGGCUUACCAAGGCGACGAUCCGUAGCUGGUCUGAGAGGACGACCAGCCACACUGGGACUGAGACACGGCCCAGACUCCUACGGGAGGCAGCAGUGGGGAAUUUUGGACAAUGGGGGCAACCCUGAUCCAGCCAUGCCGCGUGCGGGAAGAAGGCCUUCGGGUUGUAAACCGCUUUUGUUCGGGAAGAAAUCCUCUGGGCUAAUACCCCGGGGGGAUGACGGUACCGGAAGAAUAAGCACCGGCUAACUACGUG